rnacentral:rRNA from 1 species
GACGAACGCUGGCGGCGUGCCUAACACAUGCAAGUCGAGCGGAGAUGUACUGAAGAUUUAUCGGAUGUACAUCUUAGCGGCGGACGGGUGAGUAACGCGUGGGCAACCUGCCUUCCACUGGGGGAUAACACAGGGAAACCUGUGCUAAUACCGCAUGACAUCACAUAGGGCAUCCUGUGUGAUCAAAGGAGUGAUCCGGUGGAAGAUGGGCCCGCGUCCGAUUAGCUAGUUGGUGAGGUAACGGCUCACCAAGGCGACGAUCGGUAGCCGGACUGAGAGGUUGGCCGGCCACAUUGGGACUGAGACACGGCCCAGACUCCUACGGGAGGCAGCAGUCGGGAAUCUUCCACAAUGGGCGAAAGCCUGAUGGAGCGACGCCGCGUGAGGGAAGAAGGUCUUCGGAUCGUAAACCUCUCGUCCUCAGGGACGAAAGGGACGGUACCUGGAGGAGGAAGCCACGGCUAACUACGUGCCAGCAGCCGCGGUAAGGAGUAGUAC